UACGUAGGGUGCGAGCGUUGUCCGGAAUUAUUGGGCGUAAAGAGCUCGUAGGCGGUUUGUUGCGUCGGCCGUGAAAACCUGCAGCUUAACUGUGGGCCUGCGGCCGAUACGGGCAGACUUGAGUGCGGUAGGGGUGACUGGAAUUCCUGGUGUAGCGGUGGAAUGCGCAGAUAUCAGGAGGAACACCGGUGGCGAAGGCGGUUCUCUGGGCAUUACCUGACGCUGAGGAGCGAAAGUGUGGGGAGCGAACAGG
rnacentral:rRNA from 1 species